AAGAGCUUUAAACGAGAGAAUGCUACAGGUGAUCUUUCUCUUUUGGCUUCGGAGAACACAAACACAGUGAGUUCCCACAGGGAUUAGAGCACAAAGGGUGAACGAAGGCAGACUUGGUGAAUCGGGAGAGAGGUGGUAAGGGGUACUUCGAGGUCUGCGACACACUCUGCUUCCCUCGUUCCUCCCCGCUGUUUCGGCUUGUGUGGAGCUUCCUUCUUCGCAGAAGAGGAUGGGGAAAAUGAGAGGAGGAUGGGCGUCAAGGAUGGCGCUUCUGUGCUGUGUUUCUUUCUCUUUCCUUUCGGCCUUUGCUCUUCUCGAGGAAACAGGGAUAGGAAGCGCGAGAACGAAGUCUUUCGUGCAGGGUCCGUGGUCAGCACGUGAGGUAGGCA